UACGUAGGGUGCGAGCGUUGUCCGGAAUUAUUGGGCGUAAAGGGCGCGUAGGCGGCUUUUUAAGGGUGCGGUGAAAGCCCGGGGCUUAACCCCGGGUCGGCCGUGCCGACUGAAAAGCUGGAAGCACUGUAGAGGCAGGUGGGAAUUCCCAGUGUAGGAGGUGAAAUUCGAUAGAUAUUGGGAAGAACACCGGUGGCGAAGGCGGCCAUCUGGACGGAUACUGACGCUGAGACGCGAAAGCGUGGGUAGCAAACAGG
rnacentral:rRNA from 1 species